rfam:Schistosoma mattheei strain Denwood, Zambia genome assembly, scaffold: SMTD_scaffold0017533
AUCCAGCUGACGAGUCCUAAAUAGGAGGAAACGCGGGUCCUGGAU